GGACUACUGGGGUAUCUAAUCCUGUUUGCUCCCCACGCUGUCGCGCCUCAGUGUCAGCAAUUGCCCAGCUCACCGCCUUCGCCACCGGUGUUCUUCCGGAUCUCUACGCAUUCCACCGCUACACCCGGAAUUCCAUGAGCCUCUACAAUGCUCGAGCACGAGAGUAUCGACGGCCGACUCGACGUUAAGCGUCGAGCUUUCACCGUUGACUUCUCGCGCCACCUACGCGCCCUUUACGCCCAGUGAUUCCGGACAACGCUCGCACCCUCCGUAUUACCGCGGCUGCUGGCAC
rnacentral:rRNA from 1 species